rnacentral:rRNA from 1 species
UGGGGAAUAUUGCACAAUGGGCGCAAGCCUGAUGCAGCAAUGCCGCGUGAGUGAAGACGGCCUUAGGGUUGUAAACCUCUUUCAGCUCCGACGAAGCGAAAGUGACGGUAGGAGCAGAAGAAGCACCGGCUAACUACGUGCCAGCAGCCGCGGUAAUACGUAGGGUGCAAGCGUUGUCCGGAAUUAUUGGGCGUAAAGAGCUCGUAGGCGGUCCGUUGCGUCUGCCGUGAAAACCCGGAGCUCAACUCCGGGCCUGCGGUGGAUACGGGCGGACUAGAGUCCGGUAGGGGAGACUGGAAUUCCUGGUGUAGCGGUGGAAUGCGCAGAUAUCGGGAGGAACACCGGUGGCGAAGGCGGUCACCUGGGCCAGUACUGACGCUGAGGCGCGAAAGCGUGGGGAGCAAACAGGAUUAGAUACCCUGGUAGUCCACGCCGUAAACGAUGAGCACUCGGUGCCGCGGGUAUCGACCCCUGCGGUGCCUGAGCUAACGCAUUAAGUGCUCCGCCUGGGGAGUACGGUC